rnacentral:misc_RNA from 1 species
GAGCGCUGCUCUGUUUGCCUUUGGCGGCAUAUGAAGCUGCUAGGAGGCCCAUUCUUUUCUGGGGCAUUGAGUUGCUGAUAAAACGUGAAGCAGCUUUUCUCUAGCCUGCCCAUCCAACUGCUCUAGAACCCAGCUCGACUACUAACUUGUUCGUUAAGCCCCUUGCUAGAUUGCCCAAAUAUUGGUUGGUGGUUGUUGUACAUAGUGGAACAAUUGUUUUCCUUAUGUUGAGCUGAUUAGAAUAUUCAAAAGGAACGAUAUGUAGCUGUUUCAUGAUAUGCAAAGUCAUUUUGUAUCCUCAUUUCUUGUGAACUAUCUGUAUGCAUGCUUU